UUGUAAAGUGGCGCACGGGUGAGUAACACGUGGGUAAUCUGCCCUUGAGUUUGGGAUAACCCCGCGAAAGCGGGGCUAAUACCGAAUAAGACCACGGAGACCAAAGUCUCUGAGGUAAAAGGUGGCCUCUAUUUAUAAGCUACCACUUGAGGAUGAGCCCGCGGCCCAUUAGCUAGUUGGCGGGGUAAUGGCCCACCAAGGCUAUGAUGGGUAGCUGGUCUGAGAGGACGAUCAGCCACACUGGAACUGAGACACGGUCCAGACUCCUACGGGAGGCAGCAGUGGGGAAUAUUGCGCAAUGGGCGAAAGCCUGACGCAGCAACGCCGCGUGGGGGAUGAAGGUUUUCGGAUUGUAAACCCCUUUCGAUCGGAACGAAUCUCCUCUUGGUAAACAAUCAGGAGGAUCGACGGUACCGAGAGAAGAAGCCACGGCUAACUCUGUGCCAGCAGCCGCGGUAAGACAGAGGUGGCGAGCGUUGUUCGGAUUUAUUGGGCGUAAAGCGAACGCAGGUGGUUUGGUAAGUCAGGGGUGAAAGUCCGCAGCUUAACUGCGGCACUGCCUUUGAUACUGCCUUUCUUGAGUGCAUGAGGGGGAAGCGGAAUUCCGAGUGUAGAGGUGAAAUUCGUAGAUAUUCGGAGGAACACCGGUGGCGAAGGCGGCUUCCUGGCAUGUAACUGACACUCAUGUUCGAAAGCGUGGGUAGCAAACAGGAUUAGAUACCCUGGUAGUCCACGCCCUAAACGAUGGGCACUAGGUGUGGGAGGUAUCGACCCCUUCCGUGCCGCAGCUAACGCAUUAAGUGCCCCGCCUGGGGAGUACGGCCGCAAGGUUGAAACUCAAAGGAAUUGACGGGGGCCCGCACAAGCGGUGGUGCAUGUGGUUUAAUUCG
rnacentral:rRNA from 1 species